GUCGGGGUGGUGGAAUUGGUAGACACGCUGUCUUGAGGUGGCAGUGGCGACGCCGUGCGAGUUCAAGUCUCGCCCUCGACACCA
rnacentral:tRNA from 1 species